GAUGAAGAACGCAGCGAAAUGCGAUAAGUAAUGUGAAUUGCAGAAUUCAGUGAAUCAUCGAAUCUUUGAACGCACAUUGCGCCCGCCAGUAUUCUGGCGGGCAUGCCUGUCCGAGCGUCAUUUCAACCCUCGAACCCCUCCGGGGGGUCGGCGUUGGGGAUCGGCCCUGCCUCUUGGCGGUGGCCGUCUCCGAAAUACAGUGGCGGUCUCGCCGCAGCCUCUCCUGCGCAGUAGUUUGCACACUCGCAUCGGGAGCGCGGCGCGUCCACAGCCGUUAAACACCCAACUUCUGAAAUGUUGACCUCGGAUCAGGUAGGAAGACCCGCUGAACUUAAGCAUAUCAAUAAUCGGAGGA
rnacentral:misc_RNA from 1 species